AUUGAACGCUGGCGGCAGGCCUAACACAUGCAAGUCGAACGGUAACAGGGAUCAGCUUGCUGAUUCGCUGACGAGUGGCGGACGGGUGAGUAAUGUCUGGGAAACUGCCUGAUGGAGGGGGAUAACUACUGGAAACGGUAGCUAAUACCGCAUAACGUCGCAAGACCAAAGAGGGGGACCUUCGGGCCUCUUGCCAUCGGAUGUGCCCAGAUGGGAUUAGCUAGUAGGUGGGGUAACGGCUCACCUAGGCGACGAUCCCUAGCUGGCCUGAGAGGAUGACCAGCCACACUGGAACUGAGACACGGUCCAGACUCCUACGGGAGGCAGCAGUGGGGAAUAUUGUACAAUGGGCGCAAGCCUGAUGCAGCCAUGCCGCGUGUAUGAAGAAGGCCUUCGGGUUGUAAAGUACUUUCAGCGGGGAGGAAGGGAGUAAAGUUAAUACCUUUGCUCAUUGACGUUACCCGCAGAAGAAGCACCGGCUAACUCCGU
rnacentral:rRNA from 1 species